rnacentral:rRNA from 1 species
UACAGAGGGGGCGAGCGUUAUUCGGAAUUAUUGGGCGUAAAGGGCGCGUAGGCGGUCUAACAAGUGGAAGGUGAAAUCCCUCGGCUUAACCGAGGAACUGCCCUCCAAACUGUUGGACUUGAGUCCGGGAGAGGUGAGUGGAAUUCCCAGUGUAGCGGUGAAAUGCGUAGAUAUUGGGAGGAACACCAGUGGCGAAGGCGGCUCACUGGACCGGAACUGACGCUGAGGCGCGAAAGCGUGGGGAGCAAACAGG